rnacentral:tRNA from 1 species
GGAGGUAUAACUCAGUGGUAGAGUGUAUGCCUCGCACGCUCAAGGUCCUGGGUUCAAUCCCCCAUAGCUCCA